rnacentral:rRNA from 1 species
UGAAUAUGGGGGGACCAUCCUCCAAGGCUAAAUACUCCUGACUGACCGAUAGUGAACCAGUACCGUGAGGGAAAGGCGAAAAGAACCCCGGCGAGGGGAGUGAAAAAGAACCUGAAACCGUGUACGUACAAGCAGUGGGAGCACGCUUAGGCGUGUGACUGCGUACCUUUUGUAUAAUGGGUCAGCGACUUAUAUUCUGUAGCAAGGUUAACCGAAUAGGGGAGCCGAAGGGAAACCGAGUCUUAACUGGGCGUUAAGUUGCAGGGUAUAGACCCGAAACCCGGUGAUCUAGCCAUGGGCAGGUUGAAGGUUGGGUAACACUAACUGGAGGACCGAACCGACUAAUGUUGAAAAAUUAGCGGAUGACUUGUGGCUGGGGGUGAAAGGCCAAUCAAACCGGGAGAUAGCUGGUUCUCCCCGAAAGCUAUUUAGGUAGCGCCUCGUGAAUUCAUCUCCGGGGGUAGAGCACUGUUUCGGCAAGGGGGUCAUCCCGACUUACCAACCCGAUGCAAACUGCGAAUACCGGAGAAUGUUAUCACGGGAGACACACGGCGGGUGCUAACGUCCGUCGUGAAGAGGGAAACAACCCAGACCGCCAGCUAAGGUCCCAAAGUCAUGGUUAAGUGGGAAACGAUGUGGGAAGGCCCAGACAGCCAGGAUGUUGGCUUAGAAGCAGCCAUCAUUUAAAGAAAGCGUAAUAGCUCACUGGUCGAGUCGGCCUGCGCGGAAGAUGUAACGGGGCUAAACCAUGCACCGAAGCUGCGGCAGCGACGCUUAUGCGUUGUUGGGUAGGGGAGCGUUCUGUAAGCCUGCGAAGGUGUGCUGUGAGGCAUGCUGGAGGUAUCAGAAGUGCGAAUGCUGACAUAAGUAACGAUAAAGCGGGUGAAAAGCCCGCUCGCCGGAAGACCAAGGGUUCCUGUCCAACGUUAAUCGGGGCAGGGUGAGUCGACCCCUAAGGCGAGGCCGAAAGGCGUAGUCGAUGGGAAACAGGUUAAUAUUCCUGUACUUGGUGUUACUGCGAAGGGGGGACGGAGAAGGCUAUGUUGGCCGGGCGACGGUUGUCCCGGUUUAAGCGUGUAGGCUGGUUUUCCAGGCAAAUCCGGAAAAUCAAGGCUGAGGCGUGAUGACGAGGCACUACGGUGCUGAAGCAACAAAUGCCCUGCUUCCAGGAAAAGCCUCUAAGCAUCAGGUAACAUCAAAUCGUACCCCAAACCGACACAGGUGGUCAGGUAGAGAAUACCAAGGCGCUUGAGAGAACUCGGGUGAAGGAACUAGGCAAAAUGGUGCCGUAACUUCGGGAGAAGG